rnacentral:SRP_RNA from 1 species
GCCGGGCAUGGUGGUGCGUGCCUGUAAUCCCAGCUACUUGGGAGGCUGAGGCAGGAGAAUCACUUGAACCCAGGAGGCAGAGGUUGCAGUGAGCUGAGAUCACGCCAUUGCACUCCAGCCUGGGCUACAGAGCGAGACUCUGUCUCAA